AGUGAACGCUGGCGGUAGGCCUAACACAUGCAAGUCGAACGGCAGCACAGUAAGAGCUUGCUCUUACGGGUGGCGAGUGGCGGACGGGUGAGGAAUACAUCGGAAUCUACUUUUUCGUGGGGGAUAACGUAGGGAAACUUACGCUAAUACCGCAUACGACCUACGGGUGAAAGCAGGGGAUCUUCGGACCUUGCGCGAUUGAAUGAGCCGAUGUCGGAUUAGCUAGUUGGCGGGGUAAAGGCUCACCAAGGCGACGAUCCGUAGCUGGUCUGAGAGGAUGAUCAGCCACACUGGAACUGAGACACGGUCCAGACUCCUACGGGAGGCAGCAGUGGGGAAUAUUGGACAAUGGGCGCAAGCCUGAUCCAGCCAUACCGCGUGGGUGAAGAAGGCCUUCGGGUUGUAAAGCCCUGUUGUUGGGAAAGAAAAGCAGCAGGUUAAUACCUCGCUGUUCUGACGGUACCCAAAGAAUAAGCACCGGCUAACUUCGUG
rnacentral:rRNA from 1 species